rnacentral:rRNA from 1 species
ACCUGGUUGAUCCUGCCAGUCGCGUAGGCUCGUCUUAAAGACUAAGCCAUGCAUGUCCUAGUUCAUACCUGUUAUGGUGAGACUGCGGAAGGCUCAGUACAUCAGUUAUAAUCUAUUUGAUCCUAUUACCCAUUGGAUAACCGUGGGAAAUCUAGAGCUAAUACAUGCAGAUUUGGGUGGCCUAACCAGCCGCCCAGGGCAUUUAUCAGACCGAUACCAACCAAGGCGUGGUGGGAGGUGCGGCACCGAGAGGACCGUAACUGCUGUGGCGCCUUGAGGCGAAUCUAGAUAACUUGGCUGAUCGUAUGGCCUAGAGCCGGCGACGUUUCAAUUGAAUUUCUGCCCUAUCAACUUGUUGGUAAGGUAGUGGCUUACCAAGGUUACCACGGGUAACGGGGAAUUCGGGUUCGAUUCCGGAGAGGGAGCCUGAGAGAUGGCUACCACAUCCAAGGGAGGCAGCAGGCGCGCAAAUUACCCAAUCCAGACACUGGGAGGUGGUGACGAGAAAUACUAGGUGGUUUCCGUAAGGAAGCCAUACUGGAAUGGACGUAGUUUAAGCAACUCGAUGAGUAACAACUGGAGGGCAAGUCUGGUGCCAGCAGCCGCGGUAAUUCCAGCUCCAGUAGCCUACGCUAAAGUUGCUGCGUUUAAAACGCUCGUAGUCGGAUUACGCAGCGUGAACCGGUGGGCCGACGUGUAGGCACAGUAAAGCCAUUUGACUCGAAGCGGCUCGGUGUAACCUUGUCGAACUAGGGUUUGAGUGGAGUGCCGAGCGACGGUGAACAGCCGGCUCACGCUUCUUGUACGUGUGGACGUGGGUUGACCUUGAGUGCGUCGACGCUCGUGUCUCACGAAAUGUGCCUCGAGCAAAUCAGAGUGCUUAAAGCAGGCCGUAGCGCUUGUAUGUGAAUAGCAUGGAACGAACAACUGUGACAAUGGCGCUGCGGGGCGCCACGUGCACAGGCCUCUGUCUGUGUGUGUGGUGUCGCGUGGCGUAUCACCAACCGCCAAUCACGGAUGUUGGUUUCCGUAUUGGGGUGAUGAUCAACAGGAGCGGUUAGGGGCAUUGGUAUUAUGCCGCGAGAGGUGAAAUUCUUUGACCGGCAUGAGACUAACAAAUGCGAAGGCAUUUGCCAGGACCGUUUCCGUUGAUCAAGAACGAAAGCGAGGGGUUCGAAGACGAUCAGAUACCGUCCUAGUCCUCGCCGUAAACUAUGCCGACCCGGGAUCAGUCCUGAGCCAUUUUGACGCUCGCGGUUGGUCCCCCUGGGAAACCUCAAGUUUUUGGGUUACGGGGGGAGUAUGGUCACAAGGCUGAAACUUAAAGGAAUUGACGGAAGGGCACCACCAGGGGUGGAGCCUGCGGCUUAAUUUGACUCAACACGGGAAAACUUACCUGGUCCGGACAUCGAGAGGAUAGACAGACUGAUAGAUCUUUCUUGAUACGGUGGUUGGUGGUGCAUGGCCGUUCUUAGUUCGUGGAGUGAUCUGUCAGGUUUAUUCCGGUAACGGACGAGACCAUAAUCUCCAUUUAGGGAGUGGGAGAAGAGCGCGGCGGUGGUGUGCGCACUCGUGGCGCGCGCCGCUUGACCGCGUUCGCAGGCCGUGCCCGGACGGCGCUGUCUCACACGGCCCACGACUACAGAGGACUUUCGUCCGAUGUGGAGCGUGGUCGAGGGGCAGUGUUCGCACGAGUUCGCCCUCCUACCUGAUGGCGUGCGUUGCGAAACUCGCGCUAUGCUAUGGAGAGACAACCAAACAUAACACCCAAAAUUGGCGGAAGCAUUUGGCGAUAACAGGUCUGUGAUGCCCUUAGACGUCCAGGGCCGCACGCGCGCUACAAUGAUAGCAACAGUGAGAAUCUGGGUCGAAAGACUUGGGUAAUCUUGCCAAUUGCUAUCGUGAUGGGGAUAGAUCGUUGUAACUGUCGGUCUUGAAAGAGGAAUCCCUAGUAAACAUAGUUCAUUAGACUAUGUUGAUUAAGUCCCUGCCCUUUGUACACACCGCCCGUCGCUACUACCGAGUGAAUCGUGUCAUGAUGCCUUGGGACUGGACGUGGUCUGGGCAUGUAUGCCUGUGACGACGCUAGGAUCAAUGCAGAAUGGUGCAAUUUCGAGGAAGUAAAAGUCGUAACAAGGUUUCCGUAGGUGAACCAGCGGAAG